GGUUUUCUAUUCUCCUGAGUGGAACCAUCAGACUUUUCUUGAGGGAUUGGCCCUCUAGUGAAGAGCAUGGAGUGGACUGGGCCAGGGAAAGAUCCUCAGAUAAUCCUUACAUACUAGAAUGAGGUGAAGCCAGAAAGGAAGAGUCAUAAUCAAAGAAGAGAGUGAUCAAGAAUCCAAAAUAGACAGAGAGAGCAGGCUCUUAGAGAAAUGGGAGAACUACCGCACUGACUCUGCACGUAGGAGACAGGCAGGAGAGGAGCGCCCCAGCCAGAGCUCAACAUGCGCAAACAGGAAGUGUGUCCGAGGUUUUCUGGAGCUCACAGGAGCCGGGGACCCACAGCCAGACGUUUAUCUGAAAGAAAAGCAGACAAGACAAACUAAAUCAGCAACCAUCCCUUUGGAUGCCAGCUGACCUCGGAUGGAGAUUUAGUGCUAGAUGUAAAAGGCUUUGUUUACAGACAAUUAAAAACCACAUAAAUUUAAAUUGUCAAAGAAGAAAUGGUUUCCAAAGCUUCUAACAGCCUGGUAGCCCCUCCUCAGCCCUGUGCAGGAAAGGCCCAGAGGCAAAUACAAAGCCACCAACCCAAAUGCCUGUGGAGUUUGCCAGAAAGCCAGAUCCUGCUGCUUCUGCUGCUUGUUACUGAUGUUGAAAAAUAAAAUCUUAUACAGCUUCAAAUGUAGGUUCUUUGAGUGCUAAUCAAACAGCAAGAAGGCAACAGAUGACCACGGAGGAGGUGGCUGCACGAAAGUACGCCA
rnacentral:lncRNA from 10 species